CGGGGCAAUGCUCUCCAACAUUGAUAUAGUCGCAUUUCAAUCCAGCAUUAAUAGUGGAAUCAAAGGGAAGAAGGGAAUCAAGUGACUCACCCAAGAGAUGGACACCACCGAGCAAAGGAAUACUAAAGCUAAACAUCGACCGAUCUUUCCACGAAGUAUCAUCCGAAGGCUCCAUAGCUUGCAUUUGCCACAACUUUGGGGGUAGAUUGAUGGAUUGGUUCGCAUGGAGAGUGAAGGCUUUUUAAGCGCUUCAAGCCGAAACCGUUGCAUGUCUUAAUUCCCUCGAUUACUUCUCAACAAAAUUUGAAUUGAACUACUCAUGAGUCAGACGAUCUAAGAGUAGUAGAAUCCCUCACGAGCGACUCUGUCCACGUGCUUAUCACUGACGGCAAGACACUUCUGACACAAUUUCCACAUCUAAAGCUAGCCGAUUGAAACAGCUUUCGCCCCGACUAACCUCCAGAUUAGUACUCAACAGCAGGAAUCGACAAGUAGAUCUGCUUGGCUGAACCCUAAUCGGACAUGGCUUCCACCGUAGUAGGGCACGGUGAAGAUUAAUGUGGACGGAGCCUUCCCCACAGUGAAUCAAAUGGGUGCAAUAGCAAGCAUUGCUCGCGAUCACUCGGGCAGCUUGAUCGGAGGUUUCACCCGUUCUGUCUCCGCAUCCUCUGCUCUCGAGACAGAGAUCCAAGCUUUAAUAUACACCCUAAAGGAUCUGGUACAGCAAAAUUUAACAGAAUCUCACCUGGUAUUGGAGUCCGACAGCAUCAUUCUGGUCGAAACCCUCAAUCGGUGCCGUCUGCCGCCGUGUUGCCACGCCCUCUUUGCCGAAAGCGUAGACCUCCU
rnacentral:lncRNA from 1 species